UCAAUAUGAUGUUGCUUCGGUUCCGUCGGCACGAGUCGCCGGCUAAGAGGGAAGCCGGUGAGAGUCCGGCGCUGCCCCCGCAACUGUAAGCGGUGAGCGAGGCCGAUCACGCCACUGGACGCACGUCCGGGAAGGCCGGCCAAGCGGUGAACCGCGAGUCAGGAGACCUGCCGGGCAUAUGACAAUGAC
rnacentral:ncRNA from 1 species